GUCCGCCCGUCUUUACAGAGAGCAGGCAAGUGCAUGAACAGACGAGUUUCUACUUUUGGGCUUUUAACGGAGACACCAAUCCAUCAUCCGUCAUUCUCCGGUUGUUUUAACUUGCGGUGGAGUCCAGCUUCCUCCUACAGACCGGGGACAAAGUCCAUCUUAAGUUUUCAAAAAUGGCGAGGGUUUUAAUUUUCAACAUCUGCCUGGUGUUGUUGCCGGCUGUGACGCCAAAUCAGUUCUCUCUACUUUGAAGGACCCACGCUUUACAAUAAAGCAGCAGGGCAGACAUUUUCUGUGUGGGUUCAGGACGAUAGUGGGCCGGGAAGUGAGAUGGAAGUUCACCUUGUCCACAAUACAAUGCAGCCAAGAGAGGCUAAAAGAGGCAGAGGGCUUCCUUAACUUUGAUAGAUGUCAUGGAUUAGGCUGAGUGCAGACUGAGAUUGUAUCAGAUUCCUCAGCCAAGUACAAUGUGUACUACACCCGCCUGUACCACGAAGCGAGUUCAACAUACCCAGGAUAUCAUCUGGCUUAACUAACCCAAUCGCGGUCAGGAUAAGUGGUACCACGAAGCUGGUUAUCAACUCGGGACGGUGGUAGGCAAGGUGAAUGCUACAGACAGAGAUGAACCAGGAUCUCGACACAUCAAGAUCAGGUAUAGUCUCUUGACUGGAUCAGACCUGUUUGCCAUCCACCCAACUACAGGAGUCAUCACCACAGCAACUAACACCCUGGACAGAGAGGUAAAAGAAAAGCAUACUGUGACAGUACAAAUCAAAGAUAUGGACGGCGCAGAAAAUGAUUUGUCCACCACAGGAACGUUGCUGUGGCUGAUAUCAACGACAACCCACCCACUUUCACAAAAACAUCUUAUCAGGCCAAUGUUGUGGAGCUUCUGUAUGAUGCAAAGCCCUUAGAUUAUGAGACCAAAAACGUAAAGCUUGACAUUAUGGCACGUAAUGAAGCUGACCUGAGUGGCACCAAGACCCAAUGGCUGUCUGUCCCUGUGAAUGU